rnacentral:misc_RNA from 1 species
CAACCCUCAAGCUCAGCUUGGUGUUGGGCCCCGCCCGUCGCGGCCGGCCCCAAAUCCAGUGGCGGUGCCGUUGGGCCCAGAGCGCAGUAGCAUCUCUCGCUCCUGGGUCCCGGCGGUGGCCUGCCAGAACGCCCACUCUCCAU